rnacentral:lncRNA from 1 species
UAUAGUUACCAUGAGAAAUCAUGUGAAAUAAUGUAUUCAUGUUGCUUAUUUCAUUCUUCUUAUAAAUUAAAUAGAGGAUUCCACAAUCCAGGGAAACACUGCCCGGAACAGCAUUGUCUGGUGUAGAUAUAGCUUGAACCAGCAAGUUGAAUUGUCUCACUGAAGCUGAUCCCAGCUGUCUUCUUUCAGCAAAAUAAAUACAUGAGGGAACCUAGGAUCAGUACAACAACCUAGUCUAAACUUCACUGGUUCUUCUCUGGAACAGAGACCCAAACCACAGCCAUGAAAAAUAAACAGUAUUGUGUUGUAAUGAAGACUAUGAAAAAAGCAUUUUGGAAAAUAGCCUCCGAUAUGAGGCGGCCAUCAAUAUGCAUGUUAUAUGUGAUCGAGUUCGAGAGAUGUG